rnacentral:rRNA from 1 species
AAAGCUCAAAUUUAAAAUCUGGCGGUCUUUGGCCGUCCGAGUUGUAAUCUAGAGAAGCGUUACCCGCGUUGGACCGUGUACAAGUCUCCUGGAAUGGAGCGUCAUAGAGGGUGAGAAUCCCGUCUUUGACACGGACUACCAAGGCUUUGUGGUAUGCUCUCAAAGAGUCGAGUUGUUUGGGAAUGCAGCUCAAAAUGGGUGGUAAAUUCCAUCUAAAGCUAAAUAUUGGCGAGAGACCGAUAGCGAACAAGUACCGUGAGGGAAAGAUGAAAAGAACUUUGGAAAGAGAGUUAAACAGUACGUGAAAUUGCUGAAAGGGAAACGCUUGAAGUCAGUCGCGUUGGCUGGGGAUCAGCUUCGCUUUUGCGUGGUGUACUUCCUAGUUGACGGGUCAGCAUCAAUUUUGACUGCUGGAAAAAGGCUUGGGGAAGGUGGCAGCUCCGGCUGUGUUAUAGCCCCUUGUCACAUACAGCGGUUGGGAUUGAGGUACUCAGCACGCCGCAAGGCCGGGUUUCGACCACGAUCGUGCUUAGGAUGCUGGCAUAAUGGCUUUAAGCGACCCGUCUUGAAACACGGACCAAGGAGUCUAACAUGCCUGCGAGUGUUUGGGUGGAAAACCCGAGCGCGUAAUGAAAGUGAAAGUUGAGAUCCCUGUCGUGGGGAGCAUCGACGCCCGGACCAGAACUUUUGGGACGGAUCCGCGGUAGAGCAUGUAUGUUGGGACCCGAAAGAUGGUGAACUAUGCCUGAAUAGGGUGAAGCCAGAGGAAACUCUGGUGGAGGCUCGUAKCGAUUCUGACGUGCAAAUCGAUCGUCGAAUUUGGGUAU